GUCUCUGUGGUCUAGUGGUAUGAUUCUCGCUUAGGGACAACUCUAAGUCACAUGAUUUGCGAGAGGCCCCGCGUUCGAGUCGCGGCAGAGACC